rnacentral:piRNA from 1 species
UCCCAGCUACUCCGAAGCCUGAGACAGGA